GAGAAAACACAUUUCUCUUUUUCUUGUUAAUCUACAAUCGGCUAUGGAAGAAAGAAAAAUAUGGGUUGAGCUUCUUCCAUAUUCGGCCAAAUUAACUUGAGGUGAGAGAUCUAGUGCUGGGCACAUAUUAUAUUAUGAUAGUUCUCUAAAUUUUGGGAGUCGAGAAUGUAUCACCAGCUCAAAUACCCUAGGGCACGAGUGUAUUCUGGUGUGGUUGGUGGGAUCGGUGCAUUUAUGCUCGACUAGUACUUUGGUGCGUAUGCGGGUGUGUUGGUGGAUUGACCCGUGUAUCCGUCCUCAAAUUUGAGUCAAUAGGAGUCGUAUCAAUAAUUAAAUGCAUGUGUAAUGUAAUGGUUAAUGGUUACUGAGUAAACAUGAAUAUGGAGAUUUAAUUGAAUUAUGCAAAAUGAGGUGCUAAUACCCUGAUGGUCCAUCGAUAUACUAGACAAUCAAAUGUGUUAAAUGAAUAUGUCAGGGGUGAUUUACAAGUCGGUUAACAUGAAAACUUAUAUGAUUUACAGUUUUGAUAGCUUACUAGUUAUUAUGUAAUAAGAUGAUUUCUAAACAUGUUAUUAAACUUGAUUUCAUAGUUU